rnacentral:lncRNA from 1 species
UCGGGGGCAGCAACCCAACAACCAGUUGUCCGAUUUGUCUGAAAAAGACAGGGCAGAUAGAUCUUGACCUAAUGAACAAUUUUACUCAAUGUCAGAUUUGCUCUAAAUGCUUUGGUUUCAGAGAUAUAAGCCAAAAUCUACAUUUUAUCACUAUGUUCUAUUUUUAGCCAUGGCGGCCAUGUUGGUUGGUUGGCCGGGUCAUC